rnacentral:rRNA from 1 species
GAUGAACGCUGUCUACAGGCUUAACACAUGCAAGUCGAGGGGAAACGCCGGGGAAGCUUGCUUCCCCGGGCGUCGACCGGCGCACGGGUGAGUAACGCGUAUCCAACCUGCCUCUGACUGAGGGAUAACCCGUCGAAAGUCGGCCUAAUACCUCAUGGCAUCGUCUGCGGGCAUCCAACGACGAUUAAAGAUUUCAUCGGUCAGGGAUGGGGAUGCGUCUGAUUAGCUUGUUGGCGGGGUAACGGCCCACCAAGGCUACGAUCAGUAGGGGUUCUGAGAGGAAGGUCCCCCACAUUGGAACUGAGACACGGUCCAAACUCCUACGGGAGGCAGCAGUGAGGAAUAUUGGUCAAUGGGCGGGAGCCUGAACCAGCCAAGUAGCGUGCAGGAGGACGGCCCUAUGGGUUGUAAACUGCUUUUAUGCGGGGAUAAAGUGAGGGACGUGUCCUUCAUUGCAGGUACCGCAUGAAUAAGGACCGGCUAAUUCCGUG